AGAAGGAAGAAAGAAGAGAGAAAAAUCAAGAAAUUGCGCGAAAAAAAAUGAAACCGGGUAUUUUAAAAAGUGACCUGUCGCUCGAGCGAGGAUCUAGCGAGACUCGGGCGACAAGCAAACUGUUUUUAUCGCUCGAGCGAAGACCAGGCGAGACUCUAGCGAAACACCAAAUGUCAAAAAUAGCACUAAAAAUUUGAAUUUUGAGAAAAAUGACAUAAUCUUCAAGAAAUGACGAAAUUAGCCCCAAAUCGUGAAAUUUCAAAAAUAAGUGAACUACGUAAUAGUGGAAAAUAAUCCAAAAAAAAAUAGCAUGGAACCA
rnacentral:lncRNA from 1 species